GGAAGGCCUUUGGGUUGUAAACCUCUUUUCUCAGGGAAGAAGAUCUGACGGUACCUGAGGAAUAAGCAUCGGCUAACUCCGUGCCAGCAGCCGCGGUAAUACGGAGGAUGCAAGCGUUAUCCGGAAUUAUUGGGCGUAAAGCGUCCGCAGGUGGUCUUUCAAGUCUGCUGUCAAAGACCAGAGCUUAACUCUGGGCAGGCGGUGGAAGCUGAGAGACUAGAGUUCGGUAGGGGUAGCGGGAAUUCCC
rnacentral:rRNA from 1 species